CUACGGGCGGCACCAGUGAGGAAUAUUGCACAAUGGGGGGAACCCUGAUGCAGCAACGCCGCGUGGAGGAUGACGCAUUUCGGUGUGUAAACUCCUUUUAUAUGUCAAGAAGAUGACGGUAGCAUAUGAAUAAGCACCGGCUAACUCCGUGCCAGCAGCCGCGGUAAUACGGAGGGUGCAAGCGUUACUCGGAAUCACUGGGCGUAAAGGACGCGUAGGCGGGUUGGAAAGUCAGGUGUGAAAUCCUACAGCUUAACUGUAGAACUGCACUUGAAACUUCUAAUCUAGAGUAUGGGAGUGGGAGGUGGAAUUAGUGGUGUAGGGGUAAAAUCCGUAGAUAUCACUAGGAAUACCUAAAGCGAAGGCGAUCUCCUGGAACAUUACUGACGCUAAGGCGUGAAAGCGUGGGGAGCAAACAGGAUUAGAUACCCCAGUAGUC
rnacentral:rRNA from 1 species